GACGAAGGUGGCAAGCGUUGUUCGGAAUCACUGGGCAUAAAGCGUGCGUAGGCGGCCAGAUCAGUCGGGUGUGAAAUCCCUCGGCUCAACCGAGGAACUGCGCCCGAUACUGUCUGGCUUGAGGUCCGGAGGGGAGAGUGGAAUUCCCGGUGGAGCGGUGAAAUGCGUAGAGAUCGGGAGGAACACCGGUGGCGAAGGCGGUCUCUGGGCAAUUCCUGACGCUGAGGCGCGAAGCGUGGGAGCAACGGG
rnacentral:rRNA from 1 species